UAGGGAAUCUUCCGCAAUGGACGCAAGUCUGACGGAGCAACGCCGCGUGAGUGAAGAAGGAUUUCGGUUCGUAAAACUCUGUUGUUAGAGAAGAACAGCGCAUAGAGUAACUGUUAUGCGUGUGACGGUAUCUAACCAGAAAGCCACGGCUAACCACGUGCCAGCAGCCGCGGUAAUACGUAGGUGGCAAGCGUUGUCCGGAUUUAUUGGGCGUAAAGCGAGCGCAGGCGGUCAAUUAAGUCUGAUGUGAAAGCCCCCGGCUCAACCAGGGAGGGUCAUUGGAAACUGGUUGACUUGAGUGCAGAAGAGGAGAGUGGAAUUCCAUGUGUAGCGGUGAAAUGCGUAGAUAUAUGGAGGAACACCAGUGGCGAAGGCGACUCUCUGGUCUGUAACUGACGCUGAGGCUCGAAAGCGUGGGUAGCAAACAGG
rnacentral:rRNA from 1 species